ACCUACGGGGGGCAGCAGUGAGGAAUAUUGGUCAAUGGUCGGGAGACUGAACCAGCCAAGCCGCGUGAGGGAGGAAGGUACAGAGUAUCGUAAACCUCUUUUGUCAGGGAACAAAGGCGGGGACGUGUCCCCGGAUGAGUGUACCUGAAGAAAAAGCAUCGGCUAACUCCGUGCCAGCACCCGCGGUAAUACGGAGGAUGCGAGCGUUAUCCGGAUUUAUUGGGUUUAAAGGGUGCGCAGGCGGUCUGUUAAGUCAGCGGUCAAAGCCCGGGGCUCAACCCCGGCCCGCCGUUGAAACUGGCAGU
rnacentral:rRNA from 1 species